rnacentral:rRNA from 1 species
AGUGGCGGACGGGUGAGUAAUGUCUGGGAAACUGCCCGAUGGAGGGGGAUAACUACUGGAAACGGUAGCUAAUACCGCAUAACGUCGCAAGACCAAAGAGGGGGACCUUCGGGCCUCUUGCCAUCGGAUGUGCCCAGAUGGGAUUAGCUAGUAGGUGGGGUAACGGCUCACCUAGGCGACGAUCCCUAGCUGGUCUGAGAGGAUGACCAGCCACACUGGAACUGAGACACGGUCCAGACUCCUACGGGAGGCAGCAGUGGGGAAUAUUGCACAAUGGGCGCAAGCCUGAUGCAGCCAUGCCGCGUGUAUGAAGAAGGCCUUCGGGUUGUAAAGUACUUUCAGCGAGGAGGAAGGCGUUGUGGUUAAUAACCGCAACGAUUGACGUUACUCGCAGAAGAAGCACCGGCUAACUCCGUGCCAGCAGCCGCGGUAAUACGGAGGGUGCAAGCGUUAAUCGGAAUUACUGGGCGUAAAGCGCACGCAGGCGGUCUGUCAAGUCGGAUGUGAAAUCCCCGGGCUCAACCUGGGAACUGCAUCCGAAACUGGCAGGCUAGAGUCUUGUAGAGGGGGGUAGAAUUCCAGGUGUAGCGGUGAAAUGCGUAGAGAUCUGGAGGAAUACCGGUGGCGAAGGC